rnacentral:tRNA from 1 species
GCCGGGGUGGCGGAACUGGCAGACGCAGCGGACUUAAAAUCCGUUGGCCGCAAGGCCGUGCGGGUUCGACCCCCGCCCUCGGCACCC